AACGAACGCUGGCGGCAGGCCUAACACAUGCAAGUCGAACGCCCUAGCAAUAGGGAGUGGCAGACGGGUGAGUAACGCGUGGGAACGUGCCCUUCGGUUCGGAAUAACUCAGGGAAACUUGAGCUAAUACCGGAUACGUGCGAGAGCAGAAAGAUUUAUCGCCGAAGGAUCGGCCCGCGUUCGAUUAGCUAGUUGGUGAGGUAAUGGCUCACCAAGGCGACGAUCGAUAGCUGGUCUGAGAGGAUGAUCA
rnacentral:rRNA from 1 species